AGAACUUAGCAGAGAUGCUUUGGUGCCUUCGGGAACUCUGAGACAGGUGCUGCAUGGCUGUCGUCAGCUCGUGUUGUGAAAUGUUGGGGUUAAGUCCCGCAACGAGCGCAACCCUUAUCCUUUGUUGCCAGCGGUCCGGCCGGGAACUCAAAGGAGACUGCCAGUGAUAAACUGGAGGAAGGUGGGGAUGACGUCAAGUCAUCAUGGCCCUUACGAGUAGGGCUACACACGUGCUACAAUGGCGCAUACAAAGAGAAGCGACCUCGCGAGAGCAAGCGGACCUCAUAAAGUGCGUCGUAGUCCGGAUUGGAGUCUGCAACUCGACUCCAUGAAGUCGGAAUCGCUAGUAAUCGUAGAUCAGAAUGCUACGGUGAAUACGUUCCCGGGCCUUGUACACACCGCCCGUCACACCAUGGGAGUGGGUUGCAAAAGAAGUAGGUAGCUUAACCUUCGGGAGGGCGCUUACCACUUUGUGAUUCAUGACUGGGGUGAAGUCGUAACAAGGUAGGCGUAGCGAG
rnacentral:rRNA from 1 species